rnacentral:rRNA from 1 species
UACGGAGGGAGCUAGCGUUGUUCGGAAAUACUGGGCGUAAAGCGCACGUAGGCGGCGCAGCAAGUCAGGGGUGAAAUCCCGGGGCUCAACCCCGGAACUGCCCUUGAAACUGCAGUGCUAGAAUCUUGGAGAGGCGAGUGGAAUUCCGAGUGUAGAGGGUGAAAUUCGUAGAUAUUCGGAAGAACACCAGUGGCGAAGGCGACUCGCUGGACAAGUAUUGACGCUGAGGUGCGAAAGCGUGGGGAGCAAACAGG